GCGGUUUUACCUCAGCUGGGAGUAGCGUUAGGUUUGUACUCCUAAUGCUCACUUUUCGCCUAGAGGUACAUGUAUGGUAACUGACCGCACAACUUAAGGUCGCCCGUUCGAGCCGGGCAAGCCGCA